ensembl:misc_RNA Metazoa_SRP Metazoan signal recognition particle RNA
GCCAGGCAUGGUGGCGCAUGCCUGUAGUCCCAGCUAUUCAGGAGGCUGAGAUUGGAGGAUCACUUGAGCCCAGGAGUUUGAGGCUGCAGUGAGUUAUGAUGGUACCACUGCAUUCCAGCCUGGGCAGUAGAGUGAGACCUUGUCUGUC